UUAGCUCAGCUGGGAGAGCACCUCCCUUACAAGGAGGGGGGCGGCGGUUCGAUCCCGUCA
rnacentral:tRNA from 3 species